rnacentral:rRNA from 1 species
GGGUAACGAGUAAAGCAGCGAACGGGUGAGUAACGCGUAAGUUAUCUACCUUUAAAUCUGGGAUAACUACUCGAAAGGGUGGCUAAUACUGGAUAUACUCUUUUUAGAGGAAAGAUGGAUUACUAUCGUUUAAAGAUGAGCUUGCGUCCCAUUAGCUAGUUGGUAAGAUAACAGCUUACCAAGGCAACGAUGGGUAGCCGGCCUGAGAGGGCGAUCGGCCACACUGGGACUGAGACACGGCCCAGACUCCUACGGGAGGCUGCAGUGGGGAAUCUUCCGCAAUGGGCGAAAGCCUGACGGAGCAAUGCCGCGUGAGUGAUGAAGGCCUUAGGGUCGUAAAGCUCUGUCUUGAGGGAAGAACAACUUAGUAGUGAACAACUGCUAGGUAUGACGGUACCUCAAAAGAAAGCCCCGGCUAAUUACGUGCCAGCAGCCGCGGUAACACGUAAGGGGCAAGCGUUGUCCGGAAUUACUGGGCGUAAAGGGUGCGCAGGCGGUCUAGCAAGUCAGAGGUGAAAGCCACUAGCUCAACUAGUGAAAGUCCUUUGAAACUGUUAGACUUGAGAGUAGAAGAGGGAGAUGGAAUUCCUAGUGUAGUGGUGAAAUACGUAGAUAUUAGGAAGAAUACCAAUGGUGAAAACAGUCUCCUGGUCUGACUCUGACGCUGAGGCACGAAAGCUAGGGUAUCAAACGGGAUUAGAUACCCCGGUAGUCCUAGCUGUAAACGCUGGAUACUAGGUGUUGGGGGUUCAACUCCCUCG